GCAUUGGUGGUUCAGUGGUAGAAUCCUCACCUUCCACGCGGGUGAUCCAGGUUCCAUUCCCAGCCAGUGUA
rnacentral:tRNA from 1 species